ensembl:lncRNA
GAUGAUCCCUAACAAACCAUCACAAGAUUGGUUCAGAUCUCUGGAUUCAUAUAUUUCCAAAUUCCUUUGGAAAGAUAAACCCCCGCGUAUCAGCUUAAAAACGCUACAAAGAACCAAGGAUAGAGGAGGAUUAGAUCUGCCUAAUUUUCACCAAUACUUCUUAGCCAACAGGCUUCAGUUCAUCUCAGAAUGGUUAAAACAUACCUUCUUAGUUGAGCCCUGGCUAGAUGUUGAACAGGCACUAUGCAAGGAUCUAGAGAUUUCAGACCUACCAUUUAUGAAUGCUUUAAAAGUAUCAACAUCAGCUUCUCUCUGACAGCAUGGUGGGAGUUUCUAAAAAUAACGGAGUCUUCAUUAGUCUUCAUUAAUCCCAUGCAAACGUACACCUAUCUGGAAUAACCCUGACAUGUUACAAAACAAUAAUAUGAUUAAUUUCCCAGAAUGGAGUUGUAAAGGAAUUAAAUACUUACAACAUAUAUUAGAGGGAACAGAAUUUAUUCCAUUUGACAGACUAGUUGCACAAUAUGGGAUCAACAAGACAAGAUUUUUAGAAUAUCAACAAAUUAAAUCCAUAGUAAAAAAGAAAUGUAACCUCAGUCAAGUUGAAUUACAAACACCACCAAGUGCGGCACAUUUCCUUUUCUUUUUUUUUUUUUUUUUUGUGUCCCGUUUGGAUCUUUAGCAUCAGAAUUGUUGUCUUAAGGCCAAGAAAGAUGCCAAGCGGAUUUAUUUUACCAAGUGGAUCAUCAUGGCCUUGCCAUAUUGGUCCAUUUGUUUGACCUUUAUUAUAAUUAUGAAUUUAUUUUAUUUUCAGUUGCUACAAACGGGACAGACAUGACUGGGGGACAGGACAGGGAGAAAGAAUGAAAGAAAGAGAGGGAGAGAAAGAAAACCAAAGGGGAGAAGAGACGGUGAGAAGAGGGGGAAGAAAGAAAGAAAAACAAACAAACAAACAACAAACAAAACACCUGGGUCACCUGUAUGGAGAAAAAAAACAGAAGAGAAAGCAAACAACAAAGAGCAACAUAAUAAAAAAAACGGCACCAUCACAAUAAACUAGCUAGCAGUAGAUAACAGUAGAUUCUAAAUAAUAAACGAUAUUGUGCAGCACGCAAGAUAGACAGCGCACAAUGUGCUUUGAGGCAGCAGCCAAGAAAGCUGUAGUCCGCGUCUGUGAAUACCCGUGUGUACACCUGUGUGCACACCUGUGUGGAUCAGCAUGCUUGUAUUCCAAAG